rnacentral:rRNA from 1 species
GCUACCAUGCAGUCGAACGGCAGCACAGUAAGAGCUUGCUCUUAUGGGUGGCGAGUGGCGGACGGGUGAGGAAUACAUCGGAAUCUACUUUUUCGUGGGGGAUAACGUAGGGAAACUUACGCUAAUACCGCAUACGACCUACGGGUGAAAGCAGGGGAUCUUCGGACCUUGCGCGAUUGAAUGAGCCGAUGUCGGAUUAGCUAGUUGGCGGGGUAAAGGCCCACCAAGGCGACGAUCCGUAUCUGGUCUGAGAGGAUGAUCACCCACACUGGAACUGAGACACGGUCCACACUCCUACGGGAGGCAGCAGGGGGGAAUAUUGGACAAUGGGCGCAAGCCUGAUCCACCCAUACCGCGUGGGUGAAGAAGGCCUUCGGGUUGUAAAGCCCUUUUGUUGGGAAAGAAAUCCAGCCGGCUAAUACCUGGUUGGGACCACGGUACCCAAAGAAUAUGCACCUGCUUUCUUCUUGCCAUCA